CUCGUUAGUCACCUCUUACAACAAGCAUGGCUUUCUGAAGAUCAAUAUUCUAACCCAGACCUUCACGGGUGUACUAGAUAAAGAACUUCUUGAAAACAUUUUGGAUUAUCAGGGCCUCUGUUCCCUAGAGCUGACUCAGAUGGACAUAUACGUGGAAUCCAUAUCUGUCCUUGGUCGCUGCGAAGUUUGUUCAUAAACUACAUCGUAACCUGAUGUGCAGUCCUAGAUGUAGUAUUGCAGUUCUAGAUGUAGUGUGACAUCCUAGAUGUAGUGUGGCAUCCCUACAUGUAGUGUGACAUCCCCAGAUGUAGUGUGGCAGUCCUAGAUGUAGUGUGACAUCCUAGAUGUAGUGUGACAGUCCUAGAUGUAGUGUGGCAUCCUAGAUGUAGUGUGACAGUCCUAGAUGUAGUGUGACAGUCCUAGAUGUAGUGUGACAUCCUAGAUGUAGUGUGACAGUCCUAGAUGUAGUGUGAAAUUCCUAAAUGUAGUGUGGAAUUUCUAGAUGUAGUGUGACAGUCCUAGAUGUACUGUGACAUCUUAGAUGCAAUGUGGCAGGACCAGAUGUAGUGUGACAUGUAUGUAUUACUGUUGAUCACACUUAUCCAACAAAA